GACAGAGGAUGCAAGCGUUAUCCGGAAUGAUUGGGCGUAAAGCGUCUGUAGGUGGCUUUUUAAGUCCGCCGUCAAAUCCCAGGGCUCAACCCUGGACAGGCGGUGGAAACUACCAAGCUGGAGUACGGUAGGGGCAGAGGGAAUUUACGGUGUAGCAGUGAAAUGCGUAGAGAUCGUAAGGAAGACCAGUGGCGAAGGCGGGUCUCUGGACAGUUCCUGACACUGAGGCACGAAGGCCAGGGGAGCAAACGGG
rnacentral:rRNA from 1 species